UACGGCAAUAUCACGUUGGGACCCCCCGUUUCUCGUACGGUCAACGAAGUUAAGCAACGUCGAGCCUGGUUAGUAUCUAGAUGGGUGACCGGUUUGGAAUUCUAAGUGCUGUAAG